rnacentral:lncRNA from 1 species
AUGGCUGGACUGCAGCAGCUGAGAUCUUCUCAUUACUGUCAGGAGACAGAUAUUGGGGGACCAAGCAUUAAACGUACAAAGGUUAUCAAUUAUACUACACACACACACACAUAUAUAUAUAAUUAUUAUUAUUUAUUAUUAUUAUUAUUAUUAUUAUUAUUAUUAUUAUUAUUAUAUAUAUAUAAUAUAAAUUUUUUUUUUUUUUUUUCAAACAUAUUUAUUUAUAAUUUGAAUGUAUAUUUAGACAUCAUCAUGGCUGAUUUGAAUCUUAUACCCCCUAAAAUUUUUCAAUACUUUGUUUUUAUUCUUAAUUAUUUCCAUUAAUUUCCUAUGGUGGUUGUAUUUGACCACAAAGAUCAGAAGUUUGACUUUGAGGACCAUUUAAACUUUUGUAAAAUUUAUAACGUGACACAAAAGUGAAACGUUUCAUACCAUUCCGAUAAAGUAGAAACUGUAAUAUUUCAAAGUGUAACAUUUUUCAGUAGAGGAUUAAAAUUUGCCUUCAUUGUUGUUUUUUCCUCCUGUCCAGAGCUCAUCAGAACAGACCUGUGCCCCACCAGUUGAGAUCCAGAGUCUAAAAUAACCACAGACAGUUGUGGGAGGAUGAAUUACACGACUAACCUACAGCUGAAUCAAGGUCAGUUUUGGGUAUGUGAGCUCUGUGCUCCCUGAAUGCAAAAACCUUGUGGUGCAUCAGUGACCAAAAUAUGCUUUAUUUGUGGAUGUCAGGGGAAAGAGUCUUGUUACGUCCUCUGGACUUAAUUGUUUGUUAUCUGUCUUUAUUGUGGUGAUGUUUGUUUUUGUUGUGCAGUUUCCCUUCUCUCUCUCCCUCCCUCUCUUUUCCUCUGCGCAGUGUUAAUUGGAUGCAGCUGCAGGUGAUUAUGUGGAGGAUGGAGCAUGCUUAAAAGCUGAGGAGGAUGGCACUGAGGGAGGCGUGUCGGUCAUUCGACAUGUGGGUUGUCGGUUGAUGUGGUUCGGCGUUGGGAGCUCGCUGUGUAUGCGCGUUGCAGAGCUCCACGGUAUUGGCCGCUGCCGUUCUGCCCGCCGUCUCCUGCCCCAGACAUUCAUCGCACUGGUUGCCCUGAUGGUAGCUGUUGGGUGGUUGCCGUUCGAGUGAGAGUUCUUUGUUCUUAUGUUUGCUUUAAUGUAAUCUUUUGUUUGUUUUGGAAGCCGUAGGGAGGAGGUUGCCAUUUGCUUUAUGAUCCCUUGUUUUCUCCUGUUUUUGGACAGCUAGGGAGUAAAGGGGAGACUGAUGUAUUUUGUUUUGGGUUUUGGUUUUGUGCAUUAGAUUUUAUUUUUUUCUCCCUCAUUUGUUGUUCUUGAAUUUGUUCGUGGUUUUUGCCCCUAUUGACUUCCAUUAUAAUGACAUUUUUUGAUUGCAAAGCCAUGACACCACAUAAUUAUAGCAUUCUUGAUUGUUUGUGUUUCCUUUGGUAAGAGGUAAAAUUUGUUAUUUUACUAAUUAACCCUUUAGAUAGGCCUGUGCAAAAAAAGCUUAGUUCCUGACUUGUAUAUGGAGCUAUAUGGAGUAUAACAGCAUAUUAUAUUGUGUGUGUGUGUGAGAUUCUUGAUUGUUGGUGGUUUUCCCUUUUGGUAAGAGGUAAAAUUUGUUAUUUUUACAGUUGAUCACUAGGUGGGACCAUUAACCCUUUAGACAGGCCUGUGCAAAAAAAGGCUUAGUUUCUGACUUGUAUAUGAAGCUAUAUGGAGUAUAACAGAAUAUUAUAUUGUGUGUGUGUAUGUGUGUGUGUGAGAGAGAGAGAGAGAGAGAGUGUGUGAGAGAGACCUUUGCGCUCUUACCUUGAUGUAUUUGAGAAAAUCAAAAUGUACACCUCUCUCUCUCAGAACUACAUGGAGUAAACAAAAGUGUAAUUAUGCACCUGCUCCCUUUUAAUGGUGGUGAUAAGUAUAGACUAAACAAUAGCAAAGUAUGUGGAUUUAAACACUUGAAGUUGGUAUUGCAUUUUGGUUCAUAAUACAUUAUGUUCAUAAAUCUGAUGCAUAGUAGAUUUUUUUUACAGGAUUUUAAGGUUUUAAACUGGCUUUACCAUUAAGAAAAGACAAGCAUUUCACACAUAGGCCAUACAUACUUUUCACCAUCAAAAGGCAGCAGGUGCAUAAACACACUUCUUUUUUUGUUUACUCCAUGUAGUUCUGAGAGCUGAGGUGCAUAUUUGGAUUUUUUUCAGAUACAUCAAGGUAAGUGCACAAAGGUCUCUCUCACACUCUCUCUUUCUUUCUCUCUCUCUCUCUCUCUCUACAAGUCAGAAACUAAGCUUUUUUUGCACAGGCCUAUCUAAAGGGUUAAUGGUCCCACCUAGUAGAUCAACUAGUAAAAAAUAACAAAUGUUACCUCUUCCCAACAGGGAAAACCACAAACAAUCAAGAAUCUCACACACACACAAACACUAUAAUUUGCUGUUAUACUCCAUAUAACUCCAUAUACAAGCCAGAAACUAAGCCUUUUUUUGCACAGGCCUAUCUAAAGGGUUAAUGGUCCCACCUAGUGAUCAACUGUAAAAAUAACAAAUUUUACCUCUUACCAAAAGGGAAAACCACAAACAAUCAAGAAUGCAUGAUUAUAUGGUGUCAUGGCUUUGCAAUCAAAAAAUGUCAUUAUAAUGGAAGUCAAUGGGGCAAAAACAGCCACGAACAACAAAUGAGGGAGAAAAAAUUAAAAUCUAAUGCUGCACAAAAACUAACAAAGCAUCAAAGCCAAAGUUGUUACUAAUCUUUGACAUGCCCAAGACUGUGAUAAAAGGUAAAAAAAUAUCCAGUCCACAAUCACUUUUUAUAUUGAAAAUAUGUCAUUUUGUGUGUUUUUUCCCCAAAUCAGUGACACAAUUUAUGAACUUGGUAAUUAAAGAGUUAAAAAUUAAAGAGUUAAAAUCUUGGAUUUUUUUUUAAACAUUUGGUAGUUUUGAUCAGGACUGAGGUUGAUUAAUAGAUUUAUGCAAAAAAAUUAGAAAAAAAUAUUUAUCUGAUACAUUUUUACAGCAGUUUAAUUUAGUGGAUGUUUUCAUCCACGAACAUAACGAAAGGGUAGUGAAUUUGCCCACAGUGUAUUGUUAAGUUUUUGAAAAUUUUCAAAGCAUUUUCCCAAAAUAUGUCAAAAUAAGAUUUGUCACCAAAAAUCAUUCCAUUAGCUGAAACACAGAGAAAGUUGUGGCCAAAAUAAGACUCAACUUUACCCCCUAGUGGACGAAAACGUCCCCAACAACACAUACGGGUUAAUCUUCCUUAAGCGUAAAGGAGCAACUGUAUUUAAAAUGCUAGAAAAGAGAGAGUCCAUAAUUUCUGUUACAUCAUCAAGUUGUUCUGAGGUUUUGGAUAUGCUAAGG